rnacentral:rRNA from 1 species
UUAAAUUGAGAGUUUGAUCCUGGCUCAGGACGAACGCUGGCGGCGUGCCUAAUACAUGCAAGUCGAGCGAGCUGAAUUCAAAGAUCCCUUCGGGGUGAUUUGUUGGACGCUAGCGGCGGAUGGGUGAGUAACACGUGGGCAAUCUGCCCUAAAGACUGGGAUACCACUUGGAAACAGGUGCUAAUACCGGAUAA